GGGAGGAGGAGGAGCCGCGUCGGGAGCGCGCAGCGCGCACGCGCCGGGCUGUGUCACGGCGGUGUGACGCCAUGUCACGACAUCAUGAGGGCGACGAGGCUGCUGGGGCUGCAGCUCGUCAAAUCCGCCCGCUGCGUGCGGGGUCUGCUCGGGGCCAGAGCUGCUGGGAGCCCAGAGCCGUGGAAGGUGCAGAGCAGCCCUGGAAUUCUGGUGAUACCACAGCUCCCAGAUGGCACUGGAAGCCAGGAGCUGGAGACGAGCACAGCACACCCUUCACCUGCUGCCAGUGGUCACUUGUCACCUGCUCCCUGCCUGACAGGUGGAGAGGAGGAGAUGGAAGUGGAUAUAUGAAGAAAUGAUGGAGAUGUAUGUUGAAGAGUUUGUUGAGGAGCUGGAGGUUGAUAUGGAGGAAGAAUGGAGGACAUGGAGGUCGAUGAGGAAGAUGAGGAAGAGCCCAUGAUCCUGGGAUGAAGAUGGAGCCCCACAGCCGGACAGGCAGGUGUUGGCCCUGUCACCCACAGGCAGGGUGGGUUCCCUGCUGCCAGGCUGGGGCUGGGCUGGGUGGCACAGUGACAUGGCGCCCAGGGGCUCUGGAUUGUGGUGGCACAAACACCACCCCAGCCUGUCCUGUGCUUGCUCUGGGCCACACCAGCCCCGUCCCAGCACCUGGGGCCCGGCUCCAGCCCAGCUGGGCUCAGUGCUGGCAGCAGAGUGCUGCUGUGCCAAUGUGUGCCAGCCUGGGGGCACAGGGAACAGCCCUCAGGGCCGGGCUGGAAGGGUCCUGUGCUGCUUCCCUCUCUUCCAGAACUGACAGAGAUGCUGGCUGUGGAAAUCUUCGUUUUGUACAUAUGUUUUAUAGGCUGUUCUUUGAUAAAUGUGUUAUGAAUAUUUUUCAUUGAACUUUCUGUAAAUAUAUUUCACAGGUUGUUAUUUCAUUGGGUCUUAUGUAAAUACAUUUUGAAGACUGGGUUUUCUUAGACCCUUCUGUAAAUACGUUCUAUGGAUUGUUGUUGUUAUAAUGAUUCUUAUCAUGUAAAUAAGUUUGUUGGUUUUGCUGCUCUUCUGUAAAUACAUUGUCCUUGUUUGUCAC